AGGUGCGAUCAUACCAGCACUAAUGCACCGGAUCCAAUCAGAACCCUGCAGUUAAGCAUGCUUGGGCGAGAGUAGCACUAGGAUGGUGUCCACCUGGGAAGUCCUCAUGUUGCACCUC
rnacentral:rRNA from 1 species